rnacentral:rRNA from 1 species
UACGGGGGGAGCAAGCGUUGUUCGGAUUUACUGGGCGUAAAGGGCGCGUAGGCGGUCAGCACAAGUCAGUUGUGAAAUCUCCGGGCUUAACCCGGAAAGGUCAACUGAUACUGUGCGACUAGAGUGCGGAAGGGGCAACUGGAAUUCCUGGUGUAGCGGUGAAAUGCGCAGAUAUCGAGGAGGAACACCGGUGGCGAAGGCGGGUCUCUGGGCCGAUACUGACGUGAGGAGCGAAAGCGUGGGGGAGCGAACAGG